GCCGCGUUGUGGUAGUAGUUAACCGGCUUCCCUCCCACGGAAGAGUCGUGGGUGCAAAUCCCGCACGUGGCA